GGUAGUAAAAGUCGUAACAAGGUCUCCGUUGGUGAACCAGCGGAGGGAUCAUUACAGGACUCGCAAGACUCCUUCACCCUGUGAACCUCACUACAAGCACGUUGCUUCGGCGGGUGUCCCGGCGGGGGUUUUCCCUCGCCGGGGCGCACAGCCCGCCGGCAGCCUACUAUACUCUGUCUCUUUGCGUUGGCAUCUCGAGAAAAAACAAACAAGUUAAAACUUUCAACAACGGAUCUCUUGGUUCUG
rnacentral:misc_RNA from 1 species